rnacentral:lncRNA from 1 species
GGAGGCCUUUACAGUGUUCUAUGGGGAAAGAGUAAAGAACAUGCUGAUAGCAACAUACAAAUGAGGGAAGAUGGAGAAUCUUGCUUAGAGGAGAAAAAAAUCGCACCAUCAGUUGAGACUACACAAGCAACAUAAGUUGUCCAAUUAUGACAUAGAACCGGUUGCUGAUCGCGGAGGACGUCGCAGCUGUGGAGAUGUUUCAACCGUGGAUGAAAUCGCUGUUAAGGAAGAGUUGGGAUCAACCAUCUGAUUUCCGUUUCAUCUAGUCAAAAGUCCUUCCGAAUUUGAACUCUGUUUCGAAUGAGGCAUGAGUCUUUGUUUCCGUUUUAAGUUGGUUUAGAUUUGGUUUGUUUUAUUUUCUAAAUCCUGGUUGAAUCCCGGUUGGAGUAGGAGUCCUUUGUUUCGUUUGGGUUAAAGGGUUGGGGUUGUGUAGCCUAUAUAAGACAUCGUUGAAGACCUUGAGGGGGUUUCUUCCGUUCUGUUUUUUUCUUCAGCCGCCAUUGAAUGAAAAC